UCUUUAUAUCUUUUAUAAAAAUGUGUUGUGCUUGUUGUUAAAUGUAUUUGACAUUGUUUAGUUAAUUAAAACGCAGGUUAACUACAAGUAUUGCAAUAUGGGAUUUGUUCAACAGCUCCCUCUUAUGAAAAACAACGUUAAAGUUUUACAGUAAACUUAAACGAGCUAAAGGCCAUUCUGAAUUAAUAACUGUUGUAUAUUUAUGGUUACUUCUUUCAGAUCCCUUUCUUGGUGUGUCUUGAUGUUUUAUAUUGGCUAAAGACAAGAUAUGUCUGCAAAUGCCGGUUCCAUGUCACAUGGCUUAUUCGAGACUAGAUCCACAAAAAACUCUGCAGAUUUUGUUACCAUCAACUUGCAUUAUACAACUGACAGACUGAAACGGUUGGACACAAAAAUCUACAUUUGUGUUCCACUGGAGAAACAAAGUCACCUACAUCUUGGAUGGCCUGGGGACUACCUGACCUGUUCCUGUUAAGAGCUAGUCACUCUUUGUGGAAUGUUCCUGGCCCAUUUUUUUCCACGUUUUUACAAAAGUUUUUUCAAUGACCUCAAAAUUGAUGUGUAAAAAUAAUAAUAAACUUGAAUUUGUU